CCUACGGGAGGCAGCAGUGAGGAAUAUUGGUCAAUGGGCGCGAGCCUGAACCAGCCAAGUAGCGUGAAGGAUGACUGCCCUACGGGUUGUAAACUUCUUUUAUAAAGGAAUACAGUGAGGCACGUGUGCCUUUUUGUAUGUACUUUAUGAAUAAGGAUCGGCUAACUCAGUGCCAGUAGCCGCGGUAAUACGGAGGAUCCGAGCGUUAUCCGGGUUUAUUGGGUUUAAACGGGGCGUAGAGGGGUUGUUAAGUCCGUUGUUAAAGUUUGCGGGUCAACCGUAAAAUUGCUAUUGAUACUGUCAGCCUUGAGUGCAGUUGAGGUAGGUGGAAUUCGAGGUGUAGCGGUGAAAUGCGUAGAUAGCACGAGGAACUCCGAUGGCGAAGGCGGCCUACUAGACUGCCACUGACAUUGAUGCUCGAAAGUGUGGGUAUCAAACAGGAUUAGAUACCCCUGUAGUC
rnacentral:rRNA from 1 species